rnacentral:lncRNA from 1 species
AAAAUAUGCCUGAUAUUCUCGACUAUUUAUAUGUUACGAACGACAACAACCAUAUUGAGAUUAAGAAAGAGGUGGAACAAAUUGCCGACAGAUUGAAACAGGCAUUCAAUGAAACGCUUCAAAACAACAGCUGGAUCGACAAUACGACGCGAGCAGCUUUACAGGAAAAGUUGAAAAAUGUGACAAUGAGAAUAGGAUACGAGGACACGCUAUUGAACCGGUCAUCACUCUACGAAUACGUA